AGGGACUUAGGAUAGCACCCAGACCAAGGGCCUUCAAAGCCCUAAGCGGGA
rnacentral:tRNA from 1 species